rnacentral:rRNA from 1 species
UGGGGAAUAUUGGACAAUGGGCGCAAGCCUGAUCCAGCCAUGCCGCGUGAGUGAUGAAGGCCCUAGGGUUGUAAAGCUCUUUCACCGGUGAAGAUAAUGACGGUAACCGGAGAAGAAGCCCCGGCUAACUUCGUGCCAGCAGCCGCGGUAAUACGAAGGGGGCUAGCGUUGUUCGGAUUUACUGGGCGUAAAGCGCACGUAGGCGGACUUUUAAGUCAGGGGUGAAAUCCCGGGGCUCAACCCCGGAACUGCCUUUGAUACUGGAAGUCUUGAGUAUGGUAGAGGUGGGUGGAAUUCCGAGUGUAGAGGAGAAAUUCGUAGAUAUUCGGAGGAACACCAGUGGCGAAGGCGGCUCACUGGACCAUUACUGACGCUGAGGUGCGAAAGCGUGGGGAGCAAACAGG